UACGGGGGGAGCAAGGCGUUGUUCGGAUUUUACUGGGGCGUAAAGGGGCGCAGGUAGGCGGCGUGGACUAGUCACUUGUGAAAUCUCCGGGCUUAACUCGGAACGGUCAAGUGAUACUGUCGUGCUAGAGUACAGAAGGGGCAACUGGAAUUCUCGGUGGUAGCGGUGAAAUGCGUAGAGUAUCGAAGAGGAACACCUGCGGCGAAGGCGGGUUGCUGGGCUGAAUGACUGACGCUGGAUGCACGAAAGCCAGGGGAGCGAACGGGA
rnacentral:rRNA from 1 species